rnacentral:rRNA from 1 species
AUACGGAGGGGACUAGCGUUGUUCGGAAUUACUGGGCGUAAAGAGUUCGUAGGCGGACUGAUAAGUAAGAGGUGAAAUCCCAGGGCUCAACCCUGGAACUGCCUUUUAAACUGUCAGUCUAGAGACCGGAAGAGGUUAGGGGAAUACCUAGUGUAGAGGUGAAAUUCGUAGAUAUUAGGUGGAACACCAGUGGCGAAGGCGCCUAACUGGUCCGGUACUGACGCUGAGGAACGAAAGCGUGGGGAGCAAACAGGAUUAGAAACCCUAGUAGUCC